rnacentral:lncRNA from 1 species
CCAAGUACCAAAUGGCACGCUUGCAUCGGAAAACAUCACAACAAACUUCAUCUUGGUAGUUUCCUACCUUGAACUUGAUCAUGCAUUGUCGUGUCACUUUUAACUCACCACAUUCAUUUAGCCAUUGUAGUUUGUAGGGAUUAGUAUGAGGAGUGGUAGGAAUUUUCAAGAAGUCCACCAUUGUAGAACUAGCAACGUUUGUGCAACUCCCACUAUCAAUCACCAUAGUACACACCCCUCCCUUAAUUAAGCAUUUAGUGUGAAACAAAUUCUCUCUUUGGCUCGGAUCUUCAAGUACCUUACUUACCACAGCCCUCCUCACUAAAUAAUUAGGAACUUGACACUCUCCAUCUUGUGGCCAAGUGUCUUCUUCCUCACAAUCAUC